rnacentral:rRNA from 1 species
UACGGGGGGGGCAAGCGUUGUUCGGAAUUACUGGGCGUAAAGGGCCAGUAGGCGGCCAACUAAGUCCGACGUGAAAUCCCAAGGCUUAACCUUGGAACUGCGUCGGAUACUGGAUGGCUUGAAUUCGGGAGAGGGAUGCAGAAUUCCAGGUGUAGCGGUGAAAUGCGUAGAGAUCGGGAGGAACACCUGUGGCGAAGGCGGCCCCCUGGGCCGGCCCUGACACUGAGACGCGAAGGCGUGGGGAGCGAACGGG